UGGCCUGGCCUGAAGUGCAGACUCCUGCCUUGAGGUGUUCGGGAUUCAGCUGAGUGUGCUGAGUCCCCGCACUGGCCUGUGGGGGAGACAAAGAGACCCAGAUCCAGGUCGCCUCUUUCCCGCUUUGGGACUUGGUUCCCCGGCGGGCUCGUGGGUAAAGGCACUGGGGUCCCGACGGUCCCAGCGAGUGUGGCGUCCUGCCCCAAGAGUGCCCUGGAGAUACUUUCCUUCUAAAGGCAGGGGCGCGGGAGCUCUUCAUGCCACUGGCCGAGCUCCUAUCAGGCGUUUGAAGGAGGCAGGUUCUAAGGAUUUGUAUCCUGAUGGCUGCUGAACCAUCUGCUCCAGAUUCAAGGGCGGCCGUCCUCAGGAGACCCCGACACUUCACAUCCCUGGUAGGAUAUGAGGCCCGGCCCAAUGGACCGUCAGAGGAGGGUGUGGACUCUGAGCCUCAGAAGCAGGAGCUGACAGAGAAGAACCAAGUGUGAUGUCGAGUGUGCAGACAGGUUCCUGGAGCAAGAGUAAGGAGAUCAGAGUCCCGUCAUUGGGACACUGUAGGGCAGAGCUCUUCAUGCAGAUGACUGACCCCAUGGUAUUGAUUGGCUGAGAGGAUGCACCUUUUCGGGACUCGGCAAAGGAUGGCUGCAAGAAAGGAAGCAUUUCCGGCGCGGAGGAACUGCCUGUGCUUCGCGGUUGCUGUAGAAAUCUGACGUCAUCGUGGCGCCCGUCACGACUUUUCUAUAGAGAAAGUGGUGCUUGAUGGGAAGUGCAGGUUUCACCUUCAGCUCCUCGUGCCGUUGGCUGAGCCCAUAUCAGGCGUCUGAAGGAGACAGCUUCUGAGGAUCUGUGUCCUGCUGGCUGCUGAACCAUCUGCUCCAGAUUCCAGGGCAGCCGUCCUCAGGAGACCCCAACACUUCACAUCCCUGCUGGGAUAUGAAGCCUGGCCCGAGUGAGUGCAUACAUCUGAACAAAAGCAUGUUGUGGAAUCCGUCCUGUGAGGUUCACAAAGGAGCCUCAAAGGAGAGAAGCUACUUUGAUCUCAUCAUGAGAGAAGAGGUUUAGCAGGUGGACUCCAUUCCUUCAGCAGCUGCAUGCUCUGUAGCAGCCCUGAGAGCCAUCCUAGAGAUGCCCUCUUUUGUCUGAAAGCAGUGAAUUGUCUGGCUUGAGAAAGAAACAUGAUCUUUCACCUGCAUUUGCAAUAAAUAUAGAUGUAUAUUUUCUGAUUAUGAAUAAUAAUUAAUGAUUUCUAUGUUUUUCUCAAAUGGAUGUGAACAUAUGCAGUUAUUACAAGGUCUUCCUCCCAAUUUGAGAUCACAACAUUGAUUCUUUCCUGGUGACUUUGGUUUUAUCCACACUAUAAUGAAAUUUUUUUAAGAGCCUGAUCUUCUGUCAAUAGGUUAUUUUAAUUAUUUUUAAAUUAUUUUAAUUUCCUAUAAUUUUAUGUAAAUGCAAUCACACAGGUUGCAGUUUAUGUUCAUCUGGCUAGUUACAUUCAGCCUUUUAUUUGUUUAUUUAUAGUUUGUAAAUUAUCUUUUAUUUGACAUGAAUAUGUUAUUUAUGAACACUUGGGAAACACUUUCUUGAAUAUUGAAUACCUAAUAUCCACUAGAAGAAGACCCCUGUUGGAGAAUCACAUACAUUACCAAUUCUUUUGUAAAUCACCAAAUCAUUUAUUUCCUAUACGCUGAAGUAGAACAACCUACAGAAAUAUCUUCAGAUUUGAGAUACAGUAAAUAUUUAAUAAAUGAAUAUAACAAGUUGGAGUUAUUAAACUCUCCCAAGAAGUCACAAUAGAGAUUAGUAUUUCUUCCAGUUGUAAUGCAAAAUUUUGUUCUUUGACGAUGAUAAAAACCAAAGCAUAGAAAUGGGUUGUUUUGUUUCCUACAUAAAUAUUUAACUACAAGAAUAGGAAAGUUAGUAGGAAAGUAAUAAUCGAAUGAAUAUUUUUAACUUCAGAAACUUAUUUUAUAGGUAUUUCAUGUAACAUAUCUUUAGAUACAAUUUCUUGCAUGUAUAUGGGCUAAUAAAUAUGGAAAUUUUUAUCCUACAUACUGAAGAAUUUAAUAAAUACAUUGUGUUAUGCCUAUGUAAUGUUAGUGUUUGUAUCAGAGAUUUUUACUAGCUAUUGUAGACUACAUUUUAUUCAGUUCUUUUUUGGACCAGAAUCCACAAAAAUAUAUUUUACAUCUUGACUUAGUACAAACAUACAUAUGUUUAUAGCUGAAACCAAUAAAAAUACCUACAGCCUAGUAUAUAUUUAAUUCCACUCAUAUUUAAACUCUCAUUUAGUUUCCUUUUAAAAACUGCUGGUGGUAACACCAACUAAAUUGAUGUUACAACCCGCUAAUGGGUUGCAGCUCCAAUGGGUUGAUCUCCAAGGCAGAGAUCAGAGUUGAGCAGCUGCUCAUUGACGGACCCUGCCUCCCUUCAUAUAUACAUUUAUAACUAAUCCAAGUACACUUUCAAAUAAUGCUAUACUGCUUCACAGGUAGAGC